UAUGUGAUCGUCUCUCGCAUAUCAAUAAGCGGAGGAAAAGAAACUAACAAGGAUUCCCCUAGUAACGGCGAGUGAAGCGGGAAGAGCUCAAAUUUGAAAUCUUAAAGGGUUUCCCUUUACGAAUUGUAGUUUAAAGAAGUGUUUUCUGUUGAGGUUUUGGUAAAAGUUCUUUGGAAUAGGACAUCAUAGAGGGUGAGAAUCCCGUAUUUGACCUUUACUUUCAACUUUGUGAUACACUUUCAAAGAGUCGGAUUGUUUGGGAAUGCAGUCCAAAAUGGGUGGUAAAUUUCAUCUAAAGCUAAAUGUUGGCGAGAGACCGAUAGCGAACAAGUACCGUGAGGGAAGAUGAAAAGAACUUUGAAAAGAGAGUUAAACAGUACGUGAAAUUGUCAAAAGGGAAGCGUUUGACACCAGUGUUGUUUUUCUGAAAAUCAAUUAAAGAACUGUUUAUGCUAAGUUGUUUAGACUUUAUCAGCUAUCUGCUUAGUUUUGAGCUUUUCUUUAAUGCACUUUUCAGUUAACAAGUCAACAUCAAUUUCUUUUGCUGUAAAAAAGCUUGAGGAAGGUGGCUUGAGAUUCGUCUUAAGUGUUUAUAGCCUCUUGCCUAUGCAGUCGGAGAGAUUGAGGUCUGCAGCGUAGAUCCUUCGGGGCUAAAUGCAUUUGUGCUAAGUUAUAGCAUUUUAUAGACAACUUGUUGACUAUGAUUUGUCUUGUAGCUUACUCGCUUAUGUUAUUUUACCUACGCUUAGGAUGUUGAACGCGCACAGAGUCUC
rnacentral:rRNA from 1 species